rnacentral:rRNA from 1 species
AGAGCGAACGCUGGCGGCAGGCUUAACACAUGCAAGUCGAGCGGGCGUAGCAAUACGUCAGCGGCAGACGGGUGAGUAACGCGUGGGAACAUACCUUUUGGUUCGGAACAACCCAGGGAAACUUGGGCUAAUACCGGAUAAGCCCUUACGGGGAAAGAUUUAUCGCCGAAAGAUUGGCCCGCGUCUGAUUAGCUAGUUGGUGAGGUAACGGCUCACCAAGGCGACGAUCAGUAGCUGGUCUGAGAGGAUGAUCAGCCACAUUGGGACUGAGACACGGCCCAAACUCCUACGGGAGGCAGCAGUGGGGAAUAUUGGACAAUGGGCGCAAGCCUGAUCCAGCCAUGCCGCGUGAGUGAUGAAGGCCCUAGGGUUGUAAAGCUCUUUGUGCGGGAAGAUAAUGACGGUACCGCAAGAAUAGGCCCCGGCUAACGUUCGCGCCAGCAGCCGC